rnacentral:rRNA from 1 species
AGCGAACGCUGGCGGCAGGCUUAACACAUGCAAGUCGAACGGGCUUAGCAAUACGUCAGUGGCAGACGGGUGAGUAACGCGUGGGAACGUACCUUUUGGUUCGGAACAACCCAGGGAAACUUGGGCUAAUACCGGAUAAGCCCUUACGGGGAAAGGAUUUAUCGCCGAAAGAUCGGCCCGCGUCUGAUUAGCUAGUUGGUGUGGUAACGGCGCACCAAGGCGACGAUCAGUAGCUGGUCUGAGAGGAUGAUCAGCCACAUUGGGACUGAGACACGGCCCAAACUCCUACGGGAGGCAGCAGUGGGGAAUAUUGGACAAUGGGCGCAAGCCUGAUCCAGCCAUGCCGCGUGAGUGA